CGGAUCGCAGGCUGCAACCCGCCUGCGUGAAGUCGGAAUCGCUAGUAAUCGCGGAUCAGCAUGCCGCGGUGAAUACGUUCCCGGGCCUUGUACACACCGCCCGUCACACCAUGAGAGUCGGGAACACCCGAAGUCCGUAGCCUAACCGCAAGGGGGCGCGGCCGAAGGUGGGUUCGAUAAUUGGGGUGAAGUCGUAACAAGGUAUC
rnacentral:rRNA from 1 species